rnacentral:lncRNA from 1 species
ACGGGUCUCUUGCUGCAGCAACGCGAGUGGGAGUACCUGGAGCGCGAGCUCGGAACGAGAAUCCACGAGUUGUAAGAAAAUGGCAGACAAGCCGGACAUGGGGGAAAUCGCCAGCUUCGAUAAGGCCAAGCUGAAGAAAACCGAGACGCAGGAGAAAAACACCCUGCUGACCAAAGAGACCAUUGAACAGGAAAAGAGGAGUGAAAUCUCCUAAAAGCCUAGGAAGAUUUCCCCACCCCACCCCUUCAUCUCCAAGACCCCCUCGUGAUGUGGAGGAAGAGCCACCGGCAAGAUGGACGCGAGCCACAAGCUGCACU